CGCUGGCGGCGUGCCUAUACAUGCAAGUCGAGCGAAUGGAUUAAGAGCUUGCUCUUAUGAAGUUAGCGGCGGACGGGUGAGUAACACGUGGGUAACCUGCCCAUAAGACUGGGAUAACUCCGGGAAACCGGGGCUAAUACCGGAUAACAUUUUGAACCGCAUGGUUCGAAAUUGAAAGGCGGCUUCGGCUGUCACUUAUGGAUGGACCCGCGUCGCAUUAGCUAGUUGGUGAGGUAACGGCUCACCAAGGCAACGAUGCGUAGCCGACCUGAGAGGGUGAUCGGCCACACUGGGACUGAGACACGGCCCAGACUCCUACGGGAGGCAGCAGUAGGGAAUCUUCCGCAAUGGACGAAAGUCUGACGGAGCAACGCCGCGUGAGUGAUGAAGGCUUUCGGGUCGUAAAACUCUGUUGUUAGGGAAGAACAAGUGCUAGUUGAAUAAGCUGGCACCUUGACGGUACCUAACCANGAAAGCCACGGCUAACUACGUGCCAGCAGCCGCGGUAAUACGUAGNGGCAAGCGUUAUCCGGAAUUAUUGGGCGUAAAGCGCGCGCAGGGGUUUC
rnacentral:rRNA from 1 species